rnacentral:sRNA from 1 species
CAAUUAUUCCUAGCUAUUUUAAGUUACUCAUAGAUGUAAUUAUACCUUUUAACAUGCUUUGUAGAAUUACAUUUGAUAUAUUGCCUGAAAAAUACCUGUGAUACACAAAAGAGGAUCUUACAUUCUUUUAAUCAUGUUUGCUUGACUAUCAUGACCUUCAUUUCUAUGACUAAUUUAUUUCCUAGGUGAUUUGGAUUGUGAAACCUGUACCAUAACACGGAGUGGACUGAUUGGUCUUGUUAUUGGUGGUCUAUACCCUGUUUUCUUGGCUAUACCUGUAAAUGGUGGCCUAGCAGCCAGGUAUCAAUCAGCUCUGUUACCACACAAAGGGAACAUCUUAAGUUACUGGAUUAGAACUUCUAAGCCUGUCUUUAGAAAGAUGUUAUUUCCUAUCAUGCUCCAGACUAUGUUUUCAGCAUACCUUGGGUCUGAACAAUAUAAACUACUUAUAAAGGCCC